GACGAACGCUGGCGGCGUGCCUAAUACAUGCAAGUAGAACGCUGAAGAGAGGAGCUUCCUCUUCUUGGAUGAGUUGCGAACGGGUGAGUAACGCGUAGGUAACCUGCCUUGUAGCGGGGGAUAACUAUUGGAAACGAUAGCUAAUACCGCAUAACAAUGGAUGACACAUGUCAUUUAUUUGAAAGGGGCAAUUGCUCCACUACAAGAUGGACCUGCGUUGUAUUAGCUAGUAGGUGAGGUAAUGGCUCACCUAGGCGACGAUACAUAGCCGACCUGAGAGGGUGAUCGGCCACACUGGGACUGAGACACGGCCCAGACUCCUACGGGAGGCAGCAGUAGGGAAUCUUCGGCAAUGGGGGCAACCCUGACCGAGCAACGCCGCGUGAGUGAAGAAGGUUUUCGGAUCGUAAAGCUCUGUUGUAAGUCAAGAACGGGCGUGAGAGUGGAAAGUUCACACUGUGACGGUAGCUUACCAGAAAGGGACGGCUAACUACGUG
rnacentral:rRNA from 1 species